rnacentral:rRNA from 1 species
UACGUAGGGUGCAAGCGUUAAUCGGAAUUACUGGGCGUAAAGCGUGCGCAGGCGGUGAUGUAAGACAGAUGUGAAAUCCCCGGGCUUAACCUGGGAAUGGCAUUCGGGACUGCAAGGCUGGAGUGCGGCAGAGGAGACUGGAAUUCCUGGUGUAGCAGUGAAAUGCGUAGAUAUCAGGAGGAACACCGAUGGCGAAGGCAGGUCUCUGGGCUGACACUGACGCUCAUGCACGAAAGCGUGGGGAGCAAACAGG